UACGUAGGUGGCAAGCGUUGUCCGGAUUUACUGGGCGUAAAGAGCGCGCAGGCGGUCGUUCAAGUCGAGUGUGAAAGCCCCCGGCUCAACUGGGGAGGGUCACUCGAUACUGAUCGACUUGAAGGCAGGAGAGGGAAGCGGAAUUCCCGGUGUGUGGUGAAAUGCGUAGAUAUCGGGAGGAACACCAGUGGCGAAGGGCGGCCAACUGGACGAAAUACUGACGCUGA
rnacentral:rRNA from 1 species